GUGACCGAGGACAAACUAGCAGAGUCGCCUGCCUGUCGAGCAGGAGAUAGCGGGGGCAGCACCCGUCGGUCGCGCCA
rnacentral:tRNA from 1 species